rnacentral:rRNA from 1 species
GGUUAAGCGACUAAGCGUACACGGUGGAUGCCCUGGCAGUCAGAGGCGAUGAAGGACGUGCUAAUCUGCGAAAAGCGCCGGCGAGGUGAUAUGAACCCUUGACCCGGCGAUGUCCGAAUGGGGAAACCCAGUGCAAUCCGUUGCACUAUCGUUAACUGAAUACAUAGGUUAACGAGGCGAACCGGGGGAACUGAAACAUCUAAGUACCCCGAGGAAAAGAAAUCAACCGAGAUUCCCCCAGUAGCGGCGAGCGAACGGGGAGCAGCCCGGAGUCUGAAUCAGCUUGUGUGUUAGUGGAACGGUCUGGAAAGUCCGACGGUACAGGGUGAUAGUCCCGUACACGAAAGCACACAUGCUGUGAACUCGAAGAGUAGGGCGGGACACGUGGUAUCCUGUCUGAAUAUGGGGGGACCAUCCUCCAAGGCUAAAUACUCCUGACUGACCGAUAGUGAACCAGUACCGUGAGGGAAAGGCGAAAAGAACCCCGGCGAGGGGAGUGAAAAAGAACCUGAAACCGUGUACGUACAAGCAGUGGGAGCCUCUUUAUGGGGUGACUGCGUACCUUUUGUAUAAUGGGUCAGCGACUUAUAUUCUGUAGCAAGGUUAACCGUAUAGGGGAGCCGAAGGGAAACCGAGUCUUAACUGGGCGUUAAGUUGCAGGGUAUAGACCCGAAACCCGGUGAUCUAGCCAUGGGCAGGUUGAAGGUUGGGUAACACUAACUGGAGGACCGAACCGACUAAUGUUGAAAAAUUAGCGGAUGACCUGUGGCUGGGGGUGAAAGGCCAAUCAAACCGGGAGAUAGCUGGUUCUCCCCGAAAGCUAUUUAGGUAGCGCCUCGUGAACUCAUCUUCGGGGGUAGAGCACUGUUUCGGCUAGGGGGCCAUCCCGGCUUACCAACCCGAUGCAAACUACGAAUACCGAAGAAUGUUAUCACGGGAGACACACGGCGGGUGCUAACGUCCGUCGUGAAGAGGGAAACAACCCAGACCGCCAGCUAAGGUCCCAAAGUCAUGGUUAAGUGGGAAACGAUGUGGGAAGGCACAGACAGCCAGGAUGUUGGCUUAGAAGCAGCCAUCAUUUAAAGAAAGCGUAAUAGCUCACUGGUCGAGUCGGCCUGCGCGGAAGAUGUAACGGGGCUAAACCAUGCACCGAAGCUGCGGCAGCGACACUAUGUGUUGUUGGGUAGGGGAGCGUUCUGUAAGCCGUUGAAGGUGUGCUGUGAGGCAUGCUGGAGGUAUCAGAAGUGCGAAUGCUGACAUAAGUAACGAUAAAGCGGGUGAAAAGCCCGCUCGCCGGAAGACCAAGGGUUCCUGUCCAACGUUAAUCGGGGCAGGGUGAGUCGACCCCUAAGGCGAGGCCGAAAGGCGUAGUCGAUGGGAAACAGGUUAAUAUUCCUGUACUUGGUGUUACUGCGAAGGGGGGACGGAGAAGGCUAUGUCAGCCGGGCGACGGUUGUCCCGGUUUAAGCAUGUAGGCGGAGGUUCCAGGUAAAUCCGGUACCUUAUUAACGCUGAGGUGUGAUGACGAGGCACUACGGUGCUGAAGUGAUAAAUGCCCUGCUUCCAGGAAAAGCCUCUAAGCAUCAGGUAACACGAAAUCGUACCCCAAACCGACACAGGUGGUCAGGUAGAGAAUACCAAGGCGCUUGAGAGAACUCGGGUGAAGGAACUAGGCAAAAUGGUGCCGUAACUUCGGGAGAAGGCACGCUGAUAUGUAGGUGAAGCCCCUGCGGGCGGAGCUGAAAUCAGUCGAAGAUACCAGCUGGCUGCAACUGUUUAUUAAAAACACAGCACUGUGCAAACACGAAAGUGGACGUAUACGGUGUGACGCCUGCCCGGUGCCGGAAGGUUAAUUGAUGGGGUUAGCGGCAACGCGAAGCUCUUGAUCGAAGCCCCGGUAAACGGCGGCCGUAACUAUAACGGUCCUAAGGUAGCGAAAUUCCUUGUCGGGUAAGUUCCGACCUGCACGAAUGGCGUAAUGAUGGCCAGGCUGUCUCCACCCGAGACUCAGUGAAAUUGAACUCGCUGUGAAGAUGCAGUGUACCCGCGGCAAGACGGAAAGACCCCGUGAACCUUUACUAUAGCUUGACACUGAACACUGGUCCUUGAUGUGUAGGAUAGGUGGGAGGCUUUGAAGCGUGGACGCCAGUCUGCGUGGAGCCAACCUUGAAAUACCACCCUUUAAUGGCUGGUGUUCUAACGUAGACCCGUAAUCCGGGUUGCGGACAGUGUCUGGUGGGUAGUUUGACUGGGGCGGUCUCCUCCCAAAGAGUAACGGAGGAGCACGAAGGUUGGCUAAUCCUGGUCGGACAUCAGGAGGUUAGUGCAAUGGCAUAAGCCAGCUUGACUGCGAGCGUGACGGCGCGAGCAGGUGCGAAAGCAGGUCAUAGUGAUCCGGUGGUUCUGAAUGGAAGGGCCAUCGCUCAACGGAUAAAAGGUACUCCGGGGAUAACAGGCUGAUACCGCCCAAGAGUUCAUAUCGACGGCGGUGUUUGGCACCUCGAUGUCGGCUCAUCACAUCCUGGGGCUGAAGUAGGUCCCAAGGGUAUGGCUGUUCGCCAUUUAAAGUGGUACGCGAGCUGGGUUUAGAACGUCGUGAGACAGUUCGGUCCCUAUCUGCCGUGGGCGCUGGAGAAUUGAGGGGGGCUGCUCCUAGUACGAGAGGACCGGAGUGGACGCAUCACUGGUGUUCGGGUUGUCAUGCCAAUGGCACUGCCCGGUAGCUAAAUGCGGAAGAGAUAAGUGCUGAAAGCAUCUAAGCACGAAACUUGCCCCGAGAUGAGUUCUCCCUGAGACUUUAAGUCUCCUGAAGGAACGUUGAAGACGACGACGUUGAUAGGUCGGGUGUGUAAGCGCAGCGAUGCGUUGAGCUAACCGAUACUAAUGAACCGUGAGGCUUAACCUU